GAGUUUGAUCUUGGCUCAGAGCGAACGCUGGCGGCAGGCCUAACACAUGCAAGUCGAACGGACCCUUCGGGGUUAGUGGCGGACGGGUGAGUAACACGUGGGAACGUGCCUUUAGGUUCGGAAUAGCUCCUGGAAACGGGUGGUAAUGCCGGAAUGUGCCCUUGGGGAAAGAUUUAUCGCCUUUAGAGCGGCCCGCGUCUGAUUAGCUAGUUGGUGAGGUAACGGCUCACCAAGGCGACGAUCAGUAGCUGGUCUGAGAGGAUGACCAGCCACACUGGGACUGAGGACACGGCCCAGACUCCUACGGGAGGCAGCAGUGGGGAAUCUUGCGCAAUGGCGAAAGCCUGACGCAGCCAUGCCGCGUGAAUGAUGAAGGUCUUAGGAUUGUAAAAUUCUUUCACCGGGACGAUAAUGACGGUACCCGGAGAAGAAGCCCCGGCUAACUUCGUGCCAGCA
rnacentral:rRNA from 1 species